CCUACGGGUGGCAGCAGUGAGGAAUAUUGGUCAAUGGCCGAGAGUCUGAACCAGCCAAGUCGCGUGAGGGAUGACGGCCCUAUGGGUUGUAAACCUCUUUUAUAGGGGAAUAAAGCGCGGGACGUGUCCCGUUUUGCGUGUACCCUAUGAAUAAGGAUCGGCUAACUCCGUGCCAGCAGCCGCGGUAAUACGGAGGAUCCGAGCGUUAUCCGGAUUUAUUGGGUUUAAAGGGUGCGUAGGCGGUUUUUUAAGUCAGCGGUGAAAGUCUGGGGCUCAACCCUAGAAGUGCCGUGGAAACUGGGAGGCUUGAGUAGGAUUGAGGUAGGCGGAAUGCGUGGUGUAGCGGUGAAAUGCUUAGAUAUCACGCAGAACUCCGAUUGCGAAGGCAGCAUGCC
rnacentral:rRNA from 1 species